GACGAACGCUGGCGGCGUGCUUAACACAUGCAAGUCGAACGAAGAGCGAUGGAAGCUUGCUUCUAUCAAUCUUAGUGGCGAACGGGUGAGUAACGCGUAAUCAACCUGCCCUUCAGAGGGGGACAACAGUUGGAAACGACUGCUAAUACCGCAUACGAUCUAAUCUCGGCAUCGAGGAUAGAUGAAAGGUGGCCUCUACAUGUAAGCUAUCACUGAAGGAGGGGAUUGCGUCUGAUUAGCUAGUUGGAGGGGUAACGGCCCACCAAGGCGAUGAUCAGUAGCCGGUCUGAGAGGAUGAACAGCCACAUUGGGACUGAGACACGGCCCAGACUCCUACGGGAGGCAGCAGUGGGGAAUCUUCCGCAAUGGACGAAAGUCUGACGGAGCAACGCCGCGUGAGUGAUGACGGCCUUCGGGUUGUAAAGCUCUGUUAAUCGGGACGAAAGGCCUUCUUGCGAAUAGUGAGAAGGAUUGACGGUACCGGAAUAGAAAGCCACGGCUAACUACGUG
rnacentral:rRNA from 1 species